rnacentral:rRNA from 1 species
AGCUCCAAUAGCGUAUAUUAAAGUUGCUGCAGUUAAAAAGCUCGUAGUUGGAUUUGUGGCGCGGCCGUCCGGCGGGGCUCCUUCAUUGGGGCCGUUUGUCUGGUUUUUCGGCCGCUCCAUUCUCGGGUAGUGUGUCGCUGGCAUUAGGUUGUCGGCUUCUUCACGCCCGUCGUUUACUGUGAAAAAAUUAGAGUGUUCAAAGCAGGCUUAGGCCAUUGGAUACAUUAGCAUGGAAUAAUGAGAUAGGGCCACGACGGUCUAUUUUGUUGGUUUGCACGUUGUGGUAAUGAUUAACAGGAACGGUUGGGGGUAUUCGUAUUCAAUUGUCAGAGGUGAAAUUCUUGGAUUUAUGGAAGACGAACUACUGCGAAAGCAUUUACCAAGGAUGUUUUCAUUAAUC